rnacentral:rRNA from 1 species
UACGUAGGGUGCAAGCGUUAAUCGGAAUUACUGGGCGUAAAGCGUGCGCAGGCGGUUUUGUAAGUCUGAUGUGAAAUCCCCGGGCUCAACCUGGGAAUGGCAUUGGAGACUGCAAGGCUAGAAUCUGGCAGAGGGGGGUAGAAUUCCACGUGUAGCAGUGAAAUGCGUAGAGAUGUGGAGGAAUACCGAUGGCGAAGGCAGCCCCCUGGGCUAAGAUUGACGCUCAUGCACGAAAGCGUGGGGAGCAAACAGG